rnacentral:rRNA from 1 species
GCCGGACCUGACUGCUAUCGGAUUGAUACUAAGCCAUGCGAGUCAUUGUAGCAAUACAAGGCAGACGGCUCAGUAACGCGUAGUCAACCUACCCUAUGGACGGGAAUAACCUCGGGAAACUGAGAAUAAUGCCCGAUAGAACACUAUACCUGGAAUGGUUUGUGUUCCAAAUGAUUUAUCGCCGUAGGAUGGGACUGCGGCCUAUCAGUUUGUUGGUGAGGUAAUGGCCCACCAAGACUAUUACAGGUACGGGCUCUGAGAGGAGUGGCCCGGAGAUGGGUACUGAGACACGGACCCAGGCCCUAUGGGGCGCAGCAGGCGAGAAAACUUUGCAAUGUGCGAAAGCACGACAAGGUUAAUCCGAGUGGUUUCUGCUAAAGGAACCUUUUGACAGUCCUAAAAACACUGUUGAAUAAGGGGUGGGCAAGUUCUGGUGUCAGCCGCCGCGGUAAAACCAGCACCUCAAGUGGUCAGGAUGAUUAUUGGGCCUAAAGCAUCCGUAGCCGGCUCUGUAAGUUUUCGGUUAAAUCUGUACGCUCAACGUACAGGCUGCUGGAAAUACUGCAGGACUAGGGAGUGGGAGAGGUAGACGGUACUCGGGAGGAAGUGGUAAAAUGCUUUGAUCUCUCGAUGACCACCUGUGGCGAAGGCGGUCUACCAGAACACGUCCGACGGUGAGGGAUGAAAGCUGGGGGAGCAAACCGGAUUAGAUACCCGGGUAGUCCCAGCUGUAAACUAUGCAAACUCAGUGAUGCGUUGGCUUAUGGCCAGCGCAGUGUUGCAGGGAAGCCGUUAAGUUUGCCGCCUGGGAAGUACGUACGCAAGUAUGAAACUUAAAGGAAUUGGCGGGGGAGCACCACAAGGGGUGAAGCCUGCGGUUCAAUUGGAGUCAACGCCGG